rnacentral:rRNA from 1 species
CGGGACGGGUGAGUAAUGUCUGGGAAACUGCCUGAUGGAGGGGGGUAACUACUGGAAACGGUAGCUAAUACCGCAUAACGUCGCAAGACCAAAGAGGGGGACCGUUCGGGCCUCUUGCCAUCGGAUGUGCCCAGAUGGGAUUAGCUAGUAGGUGGGGUAACGGCUCACCUAGGCGACGAUCCCUAGCUGGUCUGAGAGGAUGACCAGCCACACUGGAACUGAGACACGGUCCAG